rnacentral:lncRNA from 1 species
CGGGACCCGAGUUCCAGCCGGGCAGCGGCCGCGCGCGGGCUCGGGCCCCGGUUCACACCGGUGUUAGGCCGCCUGAGGGCCAGAGACUGAGGGGGACGCGCCCUGGCGGCCCGGCCCGUCGCCUUGGGGCUCAGGCGGGCUCCGCGCUACUUUCGGGGUGUUCUCGCUGCUCGUUGGUUGCAGCACGAGCACACAAUGGCACCGCUGCCACCGCAGCUCUGGGCGGCCCGGCUACCCUUGCGGGCUCUGUCUCCACCUCCACGCGAAGACCCCCCUGCAGGGCCCGAGUUCGAAGCCCGGCCUCCCCGGGCCGCAGCUGCCACAGCCCUUCGGAGGCGGAAGUUUAUUGAGCAAUCAUAGGAAGGAUGAUAUUGUUGCUCCCACAAACAAGACGAUGGGACCUUGAAUAAUGAAAGCCACUUUUGAGCAAAGUCCUGGUUCAAAAGCUAGAGCUAAUCUUCCCCACCUGGAGGGUAAAUGACUGAUUUAAAGGCUGAUGAAACUAAAGCUAACUUUCUCUCUGACUCACCUCCACAGCUGAAAUUCCCGUCUUCAUUGAGUGCAAGCUCCAUAUACUUCAUACCAUUGAUUGAUUUGCUAUCCACUCCAGAAUCCCCCUCAUUAGUGCCUCAGGAAGCCUUACUUUGAAAGAAGGCUUUGCUAAGCUGCCCAUGUUAGCUUUGCCGAGCAGUCAGGAGGCAUACAUGACCACAUGCUGUGAGACUACUAUUGCUAAAGAUGAACUGGAACUACAGGCAUGAACCACCAUGCUCAACCUUUUACACAGG